AGAGUACCGUGAGGGAAAGGUGAAAAGAACCCUGAGCAAGGGAGUGAAAUAGAAUUUGAAACCGUGUGCUUACAAGCGGUAGGAGCCCUUAGGGGUGACUGCGUGGAUUUUGGUUAAUCAUCCUGCGAGUUAUGAUGUGUGGCGAGGUUAAGUGUAAGCGGAGCCGAAGGGAAACCGAGUCUUAAUAGGGCGACGAGUCGCAUGUCAUAGACGCGAAACCUAGUGAUCUAGGCCUGUCCAGGCUGAAGCUGAGGUAAGACUCAGUGGAGGGCCGAACUCACCGCCGUUGAAAAGUUGGGAGAUGAGAUAGGUCUAGGGGUGAAAAGCCAAUCGAACUAGGAGAUAGCUCGUUCUCUCCGAAAUGCAUUUAGGUGCAGCCUUGGUUGAAGAUAUGCGGGGGUAGAGCACUGUAUGGCCUAGGGGGCGUAUAGCUUACCGAAGUCAAGCAAACUGCGAAUACCGUAUAUUGUUUACCAGGAGUGAGUCUACGGAUGACAAGGUCCGUGGACGAGAGGGGAACAGCCCGGACCGCCGGCUAAGGUCCCAAAUCAUGUCUAAGUGGGAAAGGAGGUGGAUAUUCACAGACAACCAGGAGGUUGGCUUAGAAGCAGCCAUACCUUGAAAGAGUGCGUAAUAGCUCACUGGUCGAGAGUAUCUGCGCCGAAGAUAUAACGGGGCUAAGACAUGAACCGAAGCCGCGGAAGCGUGGUAACACGUUUGGUAGGAGAGCGUUCUGUAGGCCGUAGAAGGUGUCCUGAAAGGGAUGCUGGAGGUAUCAGAAGUGAGAAUGCAGGAAUGAGUAGCGAGAAGGAGGGCGAGAAUCCCUCCGGCCGGAAGUCCAAGGUUUCCAGGGGAAGGUUUGUCCGCCCUGGGGGAGUCGGGACCUAAGCAUAAGCAGAGCUGCGAAGGCGAAUGGAAAACAGGUUAAUAUUCCUGUACCGCUGUGUACUGACUGAGAGAUGGAGUGACGCAGGAAGGUAUGCGGGAAGGCUGACGGAAUAGCCUUUCUAAGGGUGAAGCGUGGACAUAUAGGCAAAUCCGUAUGUUUAAACGUGAGGCCUGACGGGUAAGUGCCAUAUGGCAUAAGCCGCAGAUCCUACACUGCCGGGAAAAACUUCUAUUUAGGGAAGCAGCGCCCGUACUGUAAACCGACACAGGUGGACAGAGUGAGAAACUUAAGGCCGACAGGACAACUCUGGCUAAGGAACUCUGCAAAAUGGCCCCGUAACUUAGGGAGAAGGGGUGCCCGUGCUACCUGAAGGGGGAGACACCCGGAGGGGAAGCGGGCCGCAGUGAAGAGUCCCAAGCAACUGUUUACCAAAAACACAGGUCUAUGCUAAGCCGGAAGGCGACGUAUAUGGGCUGACACCUGCCCAGUGCCGGAAGGUUAAGAGGAGGAUUGAGAGAUUCGAAUUGAAGCCCCGGUGAACGGCGGCCGUAACUAUAACGGUCCUAAGGUAGCGAAAUUCCUUGUCGGGUAAGUUCCGACCUGCACGAAUGGUGAAAUGAUUUG
rnacentral:rRNA from 1 species